AUAAAGGGAAGGUAGUCAUAUUAAGCAGCACCUGUCCUGUAGGGAACGCAAUGAUUGCAGAGGAAAAACACAGAGUGAAGCCUGCUUGCAUCUCCCUGGGGUGUAGAGACUGACUUCCUCCCACAGCAUGAGAAAAUUAAUGCUGGGAGAUUUAAAAUGAAUUGCCCAAGAACACACAGUAUGACAUUGGCAGAGCUGUGGGCAACUUCUGCUAUCCCUGUCUUGGAAUCCAGUCACCAUGUAAAAAAUGCCACUGCCCUGAGACCACCCACCAUGCUGUUAAGAAGCCCAAGCAAGUGAAGUCACCGUAUACUAGAAUGAAAUUUGCAAAUUCACUUCAUUGCUUUCAAAAGGAUUUGGAUUCUCAGGCCGAAUUGUCCUGAAAUCAAAAGUGCAGUUGACACAGUUUUGCCUCUCAUCCUGAGCAUCCUUGUCCACCAUUAAAAUGUUUCUAACAAUGAAAGGAACUCACCAGAGCCCCAGACUCAGCCUACAAAUCAAGCUUUAUUUUUAAAUAUUAAAAAGAAAAAAAUCUGUUAGAUUGACUUUUACAAGGAAAUAAAGCCAGGUUACUGAAUGAAUUCAUCUGAAGGUUAUUUAUAGUUUUGUUGCUUGUUUGUUUUUAACCACAGACAACAUGUCUUAAUUGGAAUGGACAAUAAAGAUAAACUGCUUCAGCCCUCUUGUAAAAUGGUGCGUAGUGUGAUGCUCAUAGCUGAGAUUUGAAGAAAUACUUUCAUUCAUUUUCAUAUCCAUCCAGCAAUCAUUUGUCAAACAGUUAUUCAGCACUGAACCAUGGACCAGAAAAGGGACAGACAGAAGAAUAAGGCAACGUUGUCCUCUUGAAGUAGUUUGAAGUUUGGAGGGACACACAUUUAAUCAUUAAAUCUUCAGUAAGAAAAAACAUAACAUGUCUUGGCCGGGAGCGGUGGCUCACGCCUGUAAUCCCAGCACUUUGGGAGGCCAAGGCGGGCAGAUCACAAGGUCAGGAGUUCAAGAACAACCUGGUCAACAUAGUGAAACCCCAUCUCUACUAAAAAUAAAAAAAAUUAGUGGGGCUUGGUGGCGGGCGCCUGUAAUCCCAGCUACUCAAGAGGCUGAGGCAGGAGAACAGCUUGAACCCGGGAGGCGGAGCUUGCAGUGAGCCGAGAUUGCGCCACUGCACACCAGCUGGGUGACAGAGCGAGACUCCAUCUUAAAA
rnacentral:lncRNA from 10 species